UCAGCUGCCACCAACUGCACGUUCAAGUGUUUGCUUUGUGACUUCCCUCUGGACUUGAUCAGUCGCUGCAGAACCUGCCAGGAGGAAAGGGCAAAAGGUGCAGAUUCCACACUGUCCAUUCCCCCCCUGCCCUCCAGUUCCCUCCUGGACUUAAGAACAGCCUCUUUUCCCACUUGGAAUAUCCUGAACUAACUGGGAAGGGCAGAACAUCCCAAAGAGGCAGCAGACACCUACAAGGACUGAGGUGAUGCCAUGGACCAAGCCAGUGCUCCCAGCAAGGAAAUCCAAAUGAUCCUCUCCAGCUCACCAGGAAAUGCUGCUCCAGCUGAAGAUCAACCCUCCUUACAAUUCUUUUUCUGUGCUUUAUUUCUCAGCAUUUCCUUCUUCCAACCCCCCUUUUCAGUACUUUUCCUACUUAAGGCAGUCAAAAUAAAAUCUCAUAUAAGGAA